UGGGGAAUAUUGGACAAUGGGCGAAAGCCUGAUCCAGCCAUGCCGCGUGAGUGAUGAAGGCCUUAGGGUUGUAAAGCUCUUUCGGUGGUGACGAUAAUGACGGUAACCACAUAAGAAGCCCCGGCUAACUUCGUGCCAGCAGCCGCGGUAAUACGAAGGGGGCUAGCGUUGUUCGGAAUAACUGGGCAUAAAGCGCACGUAGGCGGAUUUGCAAGUCAGGGGUGAAAUCCCGGGGCUCAACCUCGGAACUGCCUUUGAAACUGCGAAUCUGGAAUCUCAGAGGGGAUAGCGGAAUUCCAAAUGUAGGGGUGAAAUCCGUAGAUAUUUGGAGGAACACCGGUGGCGAAGGCGGCUAUCUGGAUGAGUAUUGACGCUGAGGUGCGAAAGCGUGGGGAUCAAA
rnacentral:rRNA from 1 species